UACGUAGGGGGCUAGCGUUAUCCGGAAUUACUGGGCGUAAAGGGUGCGUAGGUGGUUUCUUAAGCCAGAGGUGAAAGGCUACGGCUCAACCGUAGUAAGCCUUUGAAACUGGGGAACUUGAGUGCAGGAGAGGAGAGUGGAAUUCCUAGUGUAGCGGUGAAAUGCGUAGAUAUUAGGAGGAACACCAGUUGCGAAGGCGGCUCUCUGGACUGUAACUGACACUGAGGCACGAAAGCGUGGGGAGCAAACAGG
rnacentral:rRNA from 1 species